AGUGAACGCUGGCGGCAGGCCUAACACAUGCAAGUCGAACGGCAGCACAAGAGAGCUUGCUCUCUGGGUGGCGAGUGGCGGACGGGUGAGGAAUGCAUCGGAAUCUGCCCAUUUGUGGGGGAUAACCUCGGGAAACCGGGGCUAAUACCGCAUACGACCUACGGGUGAAAGCAGGGGAUCUUCGGACCUUGCGCAGAUGGAUGAGCCGAUGCCGGAUUAGCUAGUUGGAGGGGUAAAGGCCCACCAAGGCGACGAUCCGUAGCUGGUCUGAGAGGAUGAUCAGCCACACUGGGACUGAGACACGGCCCAGACUCCUACGGGAGGCAGCAGUGGGGAAUAUUGGACAAUGGGCGCAAGCCUGAUCCAGCCAUGCCGCGUGUGUGAAGAAGGCCUUCGGGUUGUAAAGCACUUUUGUUGGGAAAGAAAAGCAGCCGGUUAAUACCCGGUUGUCAUGACGGUACCCAAAGAAUAAGCACCGGCUAACUUCGU
rnacentral:rRNA from 1 species